rnacentral:rRNA from 1 species
UGGGACGGUACUGACGGUCAUGGACGAAAGCUGGGGGAGCAAACCGGAUUAGGUACCCGGGUAGUCCCAGCCGUAAACGAUGGAUGUUAGGUGUAGUGAUAACUUCGCUGCACCCCAGCUAACGCGUUAAACAUCCCGCCUGGGGAGUACGGGCGCAAGCCUGAAACUCAAAGGAAUUGGCGGGGGCCCGCACAACCGGUGGAGCGUCUGGUUUAAUUCGAUGCUAACCGAAAAACCUUACCAGGGUUUGAAAUGGUAGGAAAGGCUGUCGAAAGAUAGCCGUGUUUCCCUUUUGGGAGAAAUCCUACCACAGGUGGUGCAUGGCCGUCGUCAGCUCGUGUUGUGAGAUGUUGGGUUAAGUCCCGCAACGAGCGCAACCCUUGCCCUUAUUUGCUUCCUCGUAUGAGGUGCUCUAUAAGGAGACUGCCGGCGACAAGCCGGAGGAAGGAGGGGACGACGUCAGGUCAGUAUGCCCUUUAUGCUCUGGGCUACACAGGCGCUACAGUGGCAAGGACAAUGAGUAGCGAGAGUGCAAGCUCAAGCUAAUCUCACAAACCUUGUCGUGGUGCGAAUUGAAGGUUGAAACUCACCUUCAUGAAGCCGGAAUCGGUAGUAAUGGCGUAUCAGCUAUGUCGCCGUGAAUACGUUCCCGGGCCUUGCACACACCGCCCGUCA